rnacentral:rRNA from 1 species
UACGGAGGGGACUAGCGUUGUUCGGAAUUACUGGGCGUACAGCGCACGUAGGCGGAUUUGUAAGUCAGGGGUGAAAUCCCGGGGCUCAACCUCGGAACUGCCUUUGAUACUGCAAAUCUCGAGUCCGGAAGAGGUGAGUGGAAUUCCUAGUGUAGAGGUGAAAUUCGUAGAUAUUAGGAAGAACACCAGUGGCGAAGGCGGCUCACUGGUCCGGUACUGACGCUGAGGUGCGAAAGCGUGGGGAGCAAACAGG